UACGAAGGGGGCUAGCGUUGCUCGGAAUCACUGGGCGUAAAGCGCACGUAGGCGGAUCGUUAAGUCAGGGGUGAAAUCCUGGAGCUCAACUCCAGAACUGCCUUUGAUACUGGCGAUCUUGAGUUCGGGAGAGGUGAGUGGAACUGCGAGUGUAGAGGUGAAAUUCGUAGAUAUUCGCAAGAACACCAGUGGCGAAGGCGGCUCACUGGCCCGAUACUGACGCUGAGGCGCGAAAGCUAGGGGAGCGAACGGG
rnacentral:rRNA from 1 species